ACAGAAAUGAACAACUAUAGGUCACCGUACGGCCUUCAACAAUGAGCAAAGCCCAUACCGCAUAGUCAGCUAUAAAGGGCCUAGAAAUAACUUUUGUUGCAUGGUUGUAUUUUUCAUGAAAAGUUAUUACCCCUAUUUAUGUUUUUGAGUGAUAAAAAUAACAAUGUUCCACAUGAAUGUAUGAAUAAAUAUACCAUAAAAAUCACCUACGUGCCCCAUUUUCCUAAAACAAACUAGAGA
rnacentral:lncRNA from 1 species